rnacentral:snoRNA from 1 species
GCUCUCCAGGUUUCUUACUCAUCAGAUCUAAACAUUGAUCUGAGUGGCCAAAAAAGGAGCACAAGUAAAACUCAACUAGAUUUGGGUUAUUUCACAAUGUG